UAGGGAAUAUUGGACAAUGGGCGAAAGCCUGAUCCAGCAACGCCGCGUGGAUGAUGAAGGCCGAAAGGUUGUAAAGUCCUUUUGCUGGGGAAGAAUAAGCGUGGGAGGGAAUGCCCGCGUGAUGACAUGAACCGGCGAAUAAGCCCCGGCUAACUACGUGCCAGCAGCCGCGGUAACACGUAGGGGGCAAGCGUUGUUCGGAAUUACUGGGCGUAAAGGGCAUGUAGGCGGCCUUGUAAGCUUGGCGUGAAAGUCCACGGCUUAACCGUGGGAUUGCGUUGAGAACUGCGAGGCUUGAGUGACGGAGAGGGAGCUAGAAUUCCUGGUGUAGGGGUGGAAUCUGUAGAGAUCAGGAAGAAUACCAAUGGCGAAGGCAAGCUCCUGGCCGAUGACUGACGCUGAGGUGCGAAAGUGUGGGGAUCAAACA
rnacentral:rRNA from 1 species